AUAAGAAGGAUAGGUACACAGUGUUACUGUAGAUUCCUGAAAUGCCCUUGUACUACUCGCCUUCUCUUGCUGCAGACUAUUGGGGCACUCGCGGCGAGCUUGUCCGUUGAGAGGCGGCGAGGUUGCGCCCGACCACCGCGCGAUGUCAACCCUGAUCAUAGCCAAGAUGAGGGCCGGUACUAGGGGCUCGGCCACUCGAGCUUGACUCCCGGGGCGAGGUUGUGCCUGACCGCCGGUGAGCUGCGACGCUGUGACGAGCUUGAUCCCGACUGCAUGAGGCGUAGUGAGUGCCUCAACCAGUCUCUCAUGGCGCGCAUCGGCGCAUCAACGUCGGGGAGGAGUGAGUGAGAGGAGUGAAGAUGGGGAGGUGUGUGGUCAUAGGAGUGCGAAGGUCAACGCCGAUGGGGGAAGGACCUGCGGUCGCCAGAUCCGGCGACCCCACCUCUCGCAGGCGAUAGAUCGGCCGGCUCCCGUUCCUCCCAAUGUGGGAUCUGCGCGCCUACGACGAGCAGCUGCUCAUCUCGGUCCGUGCCUCAUCGAAGUGAGGAGGCACUUGCUCUGAUUAUGUGUUGACGAGGACGGCGCAGGCGCGCAGCCCGGCGUCCGGCGGUGGCUGCUUCCGUGGCCUCAAGUGACGCUGCUGAAGCUGACGAUCUGGGCAUCCGGCAUAUCAAGCUGCAGCGGAACCGGCGGUGAGCACAAAUCUGGGAGUCGCAAUCGCAUCCCCCAGCCAGCCGACAUGCACGAUUUCUGCAGCUUCAAUUCCUCAUCCUUCACCGCACAUCUUCCUCCAAAUCCCUCUCUCUCUCUCCUCUCCUCUCUGCCGAGUAAACCGUCAUCGAGAGAACAUUAGUUAGCUCUUGAGAAAAAUCCCAGUUUCAUGUGCGUAUUUGUUUUUGGUGUGCUGUUUUUUUUUUAAUUUCUAGUUCUCGAAGACUUUUGCUGGAUACUAUCUUCUUCCCAUGCUUCUCGCAGGCUAUCGUCUUCAAUGUGUUGAUGUGUUCCGAUAUGUAAUCCUAACAAUCUUCUUGCUGGUGUUUUUUUUUUCCUUGUGGUGUGCACUCCGCUGACUCAGGCAUGCUGAUCGAUAGCCAUCGACUCCAGGAAGUUCUGAUCAGCCGCACCAGAGGCUUGCGUUGUGAAGAGGUGCAAAUCGCUUUGAUUCAGUGAUAUUCAUGAAAGAACCUCUGUUUGCGCUCAAUGGGAUAUCAUUUUCUGAUUUAUUUAUUUUUAUGGUUUGCCAGUUCGCCUCAAGUGAUUUCUUCUGGUGAUUUUGAUUCACAUGAGUUCUUGAAAUCUUUUGGGGUGGAAAAAUUCGUUGUUUUACUGAAAUGCUAAACAUCUAUUCCGCCCCCUUUGUAGAAUUGUGCCAUCUGCCCAUAUGUUUUUUUUUUUUGACUGAAUCCGCCCAUAUGUUUUUAUCAUCCCUGAAAAAAAAAUGUCUCAUAUAAUAUAUCGAUACCUUAUGGUAGAUAUAUUAUUCAAUAAAAAAAUGUCAGGAUGUAUAUUAUAGUAGAUAGAUACCUCGAUUUGUAAAUGCCAGUUUUUUGGUGAAUGGAAAUACCAUUUUUGCAAAUGUAGAUAUAAUAGAUCGAUUUUCAUUUUGUAAA